AGGACUUCAGCCUUGGUUUCUCAGCUGAUCCCAUUCAGUGAACUUCACUGAACACAGAUCACUAACCAUGGAGUUGUGGCUGAGCUGGGUUUUUCUACUUGUUAUUUUAAAAGGUGUCCAGUGUGAGGUGAAGCUGGUGGAGUCUGGAGGAGGUUUGGUGCAGCCUGGGGGGUCAUUGAGAAUCUCCUGUGCAGCCUCUGGAUUCACCUUCAGUAAUUACUACAUGGAUUGGGUCCGCCAGGCUCCAGGGAAGGGACUGGAGUGGGUUUCACUCAUUAGAAACAAAGCAAAUAGUUACACCACAGAAUACAAUGCAUCUGUGAAAGGCAGAUUCACCAUCUCCAGAGAUGAUGAAAAGAACAUGUUGUAUCUGCAAAUGAACAGCCUGAGAGAUGAGGACACAGCCAUGUAUUACUGUGCAAGAUACACAGUGAGGAGACUUCAUUGUGUCCAGUGUGAGGUGAAGCUGGUGGUGUCUGGGGGAGGCUUUGUGCAGCCUUCAGUGAACACUAGGAAUUGGAG